AUACCUUUCUCGGCCUUUUGGCUAAGAUCAAGUGUAGUAUCUGUUCUUAUCAGUUUAAUAUCUGAUAUGUGAGUCAUCGACUCACNAGCUUAGAAAGACAUUUCGUCUCCUCAGUAAUAGUAACAAUAAAUUCAUAAUUUUCUAUGGCAGUAAUGAGAAUUUUUUCCACAACUUGUUGGUCAGAAAUAUCAUCA